UUACUCUAAAUCUCAAGGAAAAUGAUUUCCCUUAAUAUCUGCCUUUCCUCCAGUUUAAAAAGAACAGAAGAAAUGAUGUGUACAGAGUGGCCAUGUUUCUGUCUGGUGAGAGCACACAGAAGGCUUAGAGGACAUGGAGGGAAGAAGCGGGGAGGAAGACGUCUCCUCUGCUGAACCUUUGCAGUGUCAGUGGGGAGUCAGCGAGCUGGCUACUCCUCUGCAGCUCCUGGGGCAGAUAAGGGAGAUAUUGUCGGAGGAGGAGGAGCGUGAAGGAAAGAGGGGAGACGGGCCACAGCUCUGCGCUGCACACAGCUACAAUGGGAGAGGCGUGUUAGAGCGAGAGCAGUACAGCCGAGGGACUCGCUGCAGUGCAGGUGGAUCACAACCAGAGGCCGAGGCUCACAGGCAGCAGCGUGACUCCGACUGGCUUUCCAGCAGGCUGCUUUCUCACUGCCGUCUUGUCUUGUUGCCACUGUGCACUUGUGACAUCUUCUCCGAGCUGACAGUAUUAAGGAAGAGGACGUAG
ensembl:lncRNA